rnacentral:tRNA from 1 species
GUCAGAAUGGCCGAGUGGUCUAAGGCGCCAGACUCAAGUUUCAACUUCCCAUAUUCGGGGUUUCUGGUCUCCGAAUGGAGGCGUGGGUUCGAAUCCCACUUCUGACA